UACAGAGGGUGCAAGCGUUAAUCGGAAUUACUGGGCGUAAAGCGUGCGUAGACGGUUAUGUAAGUCGGGUGUGAAAGCCCCGGGCUCAACCUGGGAAUUGCAUUCGAGACUGCAUAGCUAGGGUGCGGAAGAGGGAAGCGGAAUUUCCGGUGUAGCGGUGAAAUGCGUAGAUAUCGGAAGGAACACCAGUGGCGAAAGCGGCUUCCUGGUCCAGCAUCGACGUCAGGCACGAAAGCGUGGGGAGCAAACAGG
rnacentral:rRNA from 1 species